GCCUUUUGGUUAAAUUUUUUAUGUGCAUCUCAUGAUGAUUGAGAGAGAGAGAGAGAGAGAGAGAGAGAAAGAGAGAGUUGCUUCUGUUGUUGAUUAAUUCUUUAAUUUCAGAAAUUAACCAUUAAAAUAUUUCCCACUCCCUGGCCUGUAAUUACUAAAUAUCAGUGAUGGCUACAAAUCAUUCAUUAAUCAACUAUCUCUGUAAUGUUUACAGAAGGUUACGACGAUGGUGCUGAAGGUUGACCUUCAGUGCUCAAAGUGCUACAAGAAAGUCAAGAAAGUACUUUGCAAAUUCCCUCGUAAGUGUCUCUAUCUCCGAUCACUUUAAUAAUUAAUUAGUCGUGGGAUUGUGUUUUUUGUAUUUGUCAAUAAAAGUGGUUUAUUAUGGAUCAGUGAGCUAAGAUAUAUAUAUAUAUAUGUUGAAAACUUUAUGAACAAGAGAAAUACAAGACCAGAUAUUCGAUGAGAAGACGAAUACGGUGAGAAUAAAAGUAGUGUGCUGCAGUCCUGAAAAGAUUAGGGACAAACUAUGCUGCAAAGGUGAAGGUUCAAUCAAGAGUAUUGCAAUCCUGGAACCUGAAAAGCCUAAACCACCACCACCAAAACCCAAAGAACCCGAGAAGCCAAAAGCACCUGAGAAACCCAAAGAACCCGAGAAGCCAAAACAACCUGAAAAACCCAAAGAACCCGAGAAGCCAAAACAACCUGAGAAACCCAAAGAGCCGGAGAAACCCAAAGAGCCCGAGAAACCUAAAGAGCCCGAGAAACCUAAAGAGCCUGCGAAACCCAAAGAGCCAGAAAAGCCUAAAGAGCCACCAAAACCAUCACCACCGGCACCUGCACCGGCACCGGCACCGGCACCUGCACCAGCACCGGCUCCAGUUCCGUGUCACCCGCCGGUCGGGGUGUGCUGCAGGGAAUGUUAUGAGGGGCGCGGUGGGGGACCAUGUUACGAU
rnacentral:lncRNA from 1 species